AGUGACUGAAUUAGUAACAGUACCCAGAUAAUUUACCCCACCCCACGCCCCAAAGGAGCAAAAUGAAGCUCUUUCUUUCCAACUCCCUAAGUCCCCACCGCCACCCUGCACCGCCGCCUCAAUCAACCAUGAACACAAAGCUACCUCGUUUAAUUCCCCCUUUAUCUUCCAAUUUACUCACCAAAACUUCCCAUCUCUUCAUUCAACCCCACAAAACUACACGUUAUUCAACACAUUCACUCCAAACUCUCCAAAAUUCCCUCAAUACCAACAACCCCCUCAUCACCAAUAUAUGCAAUUCCCUACACAAAGGUGAAAAUUGGGAAUCUUUAACAGAAAAGUUCCAAUCUUUACACUUCACUACCCCCAAAACUUCCCAUUUCUUCAUUCAACCCCACAAAAAUUCAUAUUCAACACAUUCACUCCAAGUUCCCACCAAUAUCAACAACCCCAUCAUCACUUCUAUCUGCAAUUCCUUACGCAAAGGUGAAAAUUGGGAAUCUUUAACCAAAAAGUUCCAGUCUUUUCACUUCACUCCCUCAAUUAUUCAAGAAAUACUCUUACAUCUCAAAGAACCAAUUGAUGCUAAAAAUGCCCUCAAUUUCUUUCAUUGGUCAGCUAAAAAUUCGAAUACUCGACAUGGGGUUUUUAUUUAUUGUGUUAUAAUUCAUAUUCUUGCAAAAUCUAAGCUUGUUAGACAUGCUAAUGCAUUGAUUGAAUCUGCUUUGAGAAAUGAGACAUUAUUUGUUGUUCUUGAUUCUUUAAUUGGGAGUUAUAAGUUAGUCGAUUCGUGUCCGUUUGUGUUUGAUUUGUUUGUGCAAAGUUGUGCUAAGUUGAGAUUGAUAGAUAAGAGUUUGGAUGUUUGUAAAUUGUUGGAUGAAAAUGGAUUUAUGUUAAGUGUCAUUAGUUAUAAUACUUUGCUACAUGUAGUGCAAAAGUCCGAAAAGACUUGUAUGGUUUGGGGUAUAUAUGAGUAUAUGAUUGAGAAAAGGAUAUACCCGAACGAAAUGACAACUAGAAUUAUGAUUAGUGCAUUGUGUAAAGAAGGGAGGUUGCAGAGAUUUUUGGAUGUUGUCGAAAAAAGUCAUGGAAAAAGAUGUCAACAACCCGGGGUUGUUGUGAAUACGUGUUUGAUUUAUGGGAUGAUUGAGGAAGAUAGAAUCGAAGACGGGUUGAGGUUGAUGAAGAGAAUGUUGCAAAAGAAUAUGAUACUCGAUACGAUUUCUUGUUCUUUGGUCGUUCUUGCAAAGGUGAAGACGAGAGAUUUGGAGUCCGCUUGGGGAGUUUACGAUGAAAUGGUUAGGCGGGGUUUUGAAGGGAAUGCGCUAGUGUACGAUUCGUUUAUUGGUGCAUAUUGUGAGGAAGAGCGAAUAGAUGAAGCAAUUAAGCUGAUGGAUGAAAUGGAGUGUUUGAAUAUGAAACCAUUUGAUGAAACGUUCAAUCAUUUGAUUAAGGUUUGUUCGGAAGUGGGAAGAUUAGAAGAAAGCUUGAAAUUUUGUGAUAAAAUGAUAGCAUAUGGUUUCGUUCCUAGUUGUUUAUCGUUUAACAAACUUGUUGCCAAGCUUUGUGAAAAUGGAAAUGCCAAGUGUGCUGAUCAACUAUUGACUAAACUGAUGGAUAAGGGUUUCGUUCCGGAUCAAAGCAUGUAUGCUUACCUCAUUGCUGGCUAUGCCAACGUAGGUGAUGUUGAGGGAGCACUUAAGCUUUACUACGAAAUGCAAUUUAGGUCGAUCUCUCCGAAUGCUUCGAUUUUUGAUUCAUUAAUUAUUGCUUUGUGUCAACGUGGAAGAUUGAAAGAAGCGGACGAGUUUCUAUCUUUAAUGAUUGGUCAAUCCUUGAAACCGGGCAUUCAUGUUUAUAAAAAAUUGAUCGCAAGCCACUUGGAUAGGGGCGAUGAAACACGGGCUCAUCACCUGUACCGACAAAGACGUACAGAGAUUGACAACAUACGGUAAAUUAGUUUCUGAGCUUCCAGUUGAUUUGAAGCUCAGAAAGAUUGAUUCAACACUAUGAUUUACUGUAAUUUGUAAGACCAAAAUGAGAACUAGUCCUGAUGUUUUUAAGUAGAAACGGUGGUGAAGAGUGAGGGGAAAUAUAUUACUCCGUAGUAAAUCAGACUAAUUCACAGGUGUUUUUUUCUCCCUUAAUUGGUGGAAAAAAGAAGCUGGAGCGCAAAGAACUUGAUGCAAGCUGGCAUAAUUCCUUCACUGUUUAAGCUGUCUUCACACUCCUGUUACAGGUAAUUUAUUAUUAACAAAGAUUUUAGAAAUGGAGGCACCCCUGUGUGAACAUCCCAGUUGUAGAAUUGUAGAUGUUAGAGAAAGACGAUGAAAAGCUGCUUCAUUUUCUCUUUCCCUCUGGUUCACUGAGCUAAGCCCAGUCGAUUUUGAAGAGUUUAGUCUGUCUUAUUUAAAACAGAUAGUGCAUACGGUGAAGCUAACUCGUCCUGAUUUCCCACUGAUUCUUUACUCAAGUGGAUCUGGCGGCUUGCUUGACAGACUACCCUUGACUGGUGUAGAUGUAGUAAGCUUGGAUUGGACAGUUGAUAUGGCUGAUGGAAGGAGACAACUGGGUCCUGAUGUGGCCGUACAAGGCAAUGUGGAUCCUGGAGUCCUUGUGGCUCAAAGGAAUGUAUGUCGAAUAAAUGAUACUGUCAAGAAAGCUGGUAAAGGGAAACAUCUUUUGAACCUUGGACAUGGCAUCAAAGUAGGCACACCUGACGAAAAUUUUGCUCACUUCUUUGAGAUUGCUGAAGGACUUAGGGAAUGGCACUAUCAGGUCUUGGAAGGACAAGUGGACAGGAAACUCCAUUAUGCAGGAAGCAUUUCCCACCAUUUUCAAUCUAGCCCAGGAUCCGGAUGCUGUCAUUGCAACUUACAAAGAAGGGACUAACUGGAAUAUCAUGCUUAGAAGGGAUUUGUAUGACUGGGAAUUCUCUGAGUUGCUAAACCUCCUCUCUAGUCUACAGCAAGGCUUCCUUAACCCAUUGGCAGCAGACAGACUCAAAUGGGGGUAAACAGUCCCCCAAGGUCAUUUGUUACACCUGGACAGUUCUGAAUGAGGCUUGCCUUCGAAUAAUUUGAUGAAAAAGAAAAUUGAGUUACCCAACAGGUGUUAUAUUUGUAAAAAAGAAGCUGCAAAUCCUGGCCAUAUUUUUCUACAUUGUGAAGUUGUCUCUGAUUUGGGGAGCAUGUUUAUGUGCAUUUCUGUACUCAAAUGGGUCGUUCCUCAAUCAGUAAGGGAAACAUAUAUGUCCUGGUGUGUGUGGAGAGUUGAUAAAUCCAUCCAGAAUAUCUGGAGAAUGAUGCUUGCUUGCAUUUUUGGAGUAUUUGGUUAGAGAGGGCUCGUUUGGUACGAGGGAUAAGGAUAAAUAAUCCUGGGAUUAUAUUUGAGAUGAGUUUAUCCCAUGUUUGGUUGAGAUAAAAUCGCGGUAUAACUAAUCCCGGGAUUAGUUAUUCCGGGAUCGUAGUGUUAUUUUAUCCCUGUGGGAGGGUGGAAUAACUAAUCUCAGAAUAAGUUAUCCUGAGAUAACUAGUUUCCAACCAAACGACCCCUAAAUUUAUUGCUAGUUUAUUUAGUUGGUCCUGUUUGACCUCAAUAAAUAGUCCAGAUCAGUUGCUGGACUUCACUAGCUUCUUAGCUGUGGCUUAGUCAGUUUUUGUACAGAAGCCAGAUCUGUAAGCUUCAAUGACAUAUCUUGUAACUACUGCAUCUUCUUGAUUAUGUUCUCCCUACCCUCCAAUA